GGGCUAUAGCUCAGUGGCAGAGUGCUUGUCUAGCACGUAUGAAGCACUGGGUUCAAUCCUUAGCACCA
rnacentral:tRNA from 1 species